AUGUAUGUCAAGAGUAGAGCCCCAAAGCUGACAAACAAACGAAAAACACUAGGGACAUCAAAGACACCAGAGAGACAGCAAAGUAAGUACGAAGACUGUGUAAAACGAAGCACUGGCAUUUGGAGCAAAGGGGCAGCCUGUGAUCAGGUCUGGUGUACCUUUUGGGGGAGCAGCAGGCUCCUUCUUGGGCACGGGAACUGGCUUUUUCUCCUCUGGCACAGGUUUCUUGGGAACUUCAGGAACUUGGCUGGUGGGGGCUCCACCUUUUUAGGAACAGGAACAGGGACCACUUCUUCUGGUUUCUUGGGUGGCUCAGGGACUUCAAAAAAAAUGGGUUGUUUUUGAGAAACUGUGCAUUUUGACAAGGCAUAUAUUGUUCUGAGGCUUAAAGAAAAUAUAUUCUGGUUUUACACCAAUUGAAGGCAACAAAAUUACGUGUCAUAAUCAAGGGUUAGGGGCAAUGGGCUAGGGGCUAGUUAGAAAAUGUGCCUGUCACUCACUUUUACCUAUGGAAUCUCUUCUUUCCCAGAAACAGGUUGGAAUGCCCCUUCCUCAGAGGUAUGAGGGCCAGUUUCUCAGACACCAGUUUUAGAAAUUUUACUUUUAUAAAGUCACUGCACUAGAACAAUUGCAUUCAAUUAUCUUAAAUAAUGUUUGUAUCCUAAAUGUUUAACAUUUUGCCUGGGCAGAGAAGAGGGUCAGUGGUGGCGGGGACGGGAGCCCUAAUUUGUAGUCUGGAUCAGUUUCCAAGUUCCAAUUUUCAUGGUGGUGCAAAUACAUGCAUCCUGGCUACUGAUAAUGAUGUCACUGUCAUGGAGUUUGGAAGGGACAGGAAGUAGUGCAAAAUGAUCCAGUAUUUUCACAACUCAGAGGCAAUCCACAUAACCUCGGAAACAUAGUCAUAGUAAAAGGGGGAACUAAUGAGUUUUGAGCAUUUAUUACCAUAGUUUUAAAUAUAAUUUAUUUAAUUUUAUAUAAUUUUUUAAUCAUGGAGGUGUUAAAUGCUGGGUAGCCAAUUCCUGAAAACUUAACAUCAGCUCUCGUGAGCUGGUAGGAGCUUGCUCCAGGACACUGUAUUUCUAUUUCUAAAUGGUUGGUCACUGGAUCAUAAGCUUAGUGAAGUGGGAAACAGAGCUGCUGUGAAUUGUCAUUCUUUCCUCUAGUAUCCUCCUCAUGGGUCUUCUCACCUGCCUAUGAUUUCCUUUGUAUAUAGUGGCUGUAGGUCUGUGGACUGUGACUAAAUCUAUUAUUUAAUAGUAACAGAUUCAGAUAUUUGGAACUUUUAAAAAAUGUUACUUUGACACUUUUAAAGGAUUUUAAACUUGGAAUAAAUCACUAAUACCUUUGGGUGGAGGUUCA
rnacentral:lncRNA from 1 species